rnacentral:lncRNA from 1 species
AACCCUUAACUAAUAAGACAUUUUCUAUAAAAAUGGAUGGAGUAAUGAAAAUUUUACCCUUUCCAAUGAUAUGCCCUUUACCAUUGUCUCCAUAGGUUACUACUCCACCCUUCUUUGAUUCCAAGGUGACAAAUUGGUCUACGUCACCGAUCAUGUGUCUUGAACAGCCGCUAUCUAGAUACCAUCGUUUUUCCACUUUAUCAGCUGCAAGACACCCCUGCAAUCAAGAUCUAGAAAGAGCUUUUGGUACCCAAACUAUGUUGGGUCCUUUAGGGUUAGUACUUGAUGUUUCUUUUAGAACCCAAACUUUCUUGAAUUUAAUCUUAUGAUUAUUACUUAAUUUGUUUUGACUGGACUUUCUAUAGUUACACUCAUAUGCUUUAUAUCCUAAUUUAUUGCAGCAAUGACAAGUAAUAUUUUUAUUUUUAGCUUUUACAAAAAUGUUCUUUAAGAAUUUUUGUUUCCUAUUUGUUUUAUAUCCUAAUCCAGCCUUAUCAUAUAUAGCUUUUUGACUAUCAAGAAUCAUAUUUAAUUUGGUAGAACUAAGUGUAAACUUAUCUACUAAGAAUUUAUAUUUUUCAGCAUCUUCUUUUAACUUGAUAUUUUCAGCAAUUAGAUUCUUGGUUUCAUUUGUAAGUUUUCUAUUUAAUGUUUCAUAGUUAUGAGAUAGUUUUAACUUAUCUUUGAUAAGAGAUUGAUUUUCUUCUUUUAGAACUUUAUUUUUAUUGAUAAGUUUCUUAUGUUCUUCCAUGAGUUCUAAGAAUGCAUCAUGUAAUUCAUCAACAGUAAAAUCAUAUUCAAGUUCAGAAUCUACCUCAUCGUCAUUGGCCAUAUGACACAUUUGGG